rnacentral:rRNA from 1 species
GAUGAACGCUGGCGGUAUGCUUAACACAUGCAAGUCGUACGAGAGUUUUUAACCCAAGUGGCGGACGGGUGAGUAACGCGUGAGAAUCUGCCUUUAGGAGGGGGAUAACAACUGGAAACGGUUGCUAAUACCCCAUAUGCUUUCGAGUGAAAUGGAUUUAUCCGCCUAGAGAGGAGCUCGCGGCUGAUUAGCUUGUUGGUAGGGUAAUGGCCUACCAAGGCGACGAUCAGUAUCUGGUUUGAGAGGACGAUCAGACACACUGGAACUGAGACACGGUCCAG